rnacentral:lncRNA from 1 species
CUCAAGUCCAGAUUCACAUGUCUCAGAUCUUAAGUUCAACAAGCCUCAGAUUCAAUUGCUAUUCCUGUCAGCCUGUUCCUCUUCUAGCCUAAUGGAACCACUCUGCAUUGGCCACAAUCACCAAAGCAACAAGCAAGCCAGGCAACACAUGUUCUAAUUUCACAUUUCAUUGCAAGAAAGUCCACAGCCUGCUGCAAGAGGUAUCAGCAAUAGCAUGACUUGAUUGUCCACGAUUCCCAGUUUGGGAACCCUGAAUUUCCUUUCUCCAUAUUAACACAUUCCAGAAGAGGAGAAAUGCCUUCCUGGUAAGGGAUAUAGAGCUUACCUGUAAACUGACUUUUAAUGUGCAUCCUCUGAGCAAACUGUCCCAUUCACAAAAACUCCCACCAGCACUAUAACUGCAUCCUUUACUAUCAUCACCUCUACAGUAAGAUGGUGAUGGUCCCCAUCACAUCCUGAACCAUCAGCAGAAAGCAGGGGCUCCAUAGAGAGGACUUAAUGCAGCUUUGUGCAUACCACCGUUGUCAAUGACGUGUCUACUCCUGGCUUAUCACUUUCCAAUUAGGAGAGCAUAAAACACAAGUAAG